rnacentral:misc_RNA from 1 species
AACAUCGCGCACCUGCGGGAACCUGCGGAAGGAUCAUUACAUGGCGGAGAGGGUGGGCACCUGGGCAAACUCCAGGUUGUGAUGCCUUCACGCUCUUCCACCCUUGUCUAUUUGCACCUUCUGUCGUUCCCUCGGCGGGUUUCGACCCGCCGGCGGCAACAUUGAAAAACCUUUUUGCAGUUAGCAUCCAAUUCUUCUGAUCAAAAUAUCAAAUCGUUACAACUUUCAACAAUGGAUCUC